CCUACGGGUGGCAGCAGUGGGGGAUAUUGGACAAUGGGGGGGACCCUGAUCCAGCGACGCCGCGUGAGUGAAGAAGUAUUUCGGUGUGUAAAGCUCUGUCAGCAGGGAAGAAAGAAAUGACGGUACCUGACCAAGAAGCCCCGGCUAACUACGAGCCAGCAGCCGCGGUAUUCCGUAGGGGGCAAGCGUUAUCCGGAAUUACUGGGUGUAAAGGGAGCGUAGACGGUUAAGUAAGUCUGUAGUGAAAGUCCGGGGCCCAACCCCGGGAUUGCACUUGACACUAGUGAACUUGAGUGCAGGGGAGGUAAGCGGAAUGCGUAGUGUAGCGGUGAAAUGCGUAGAUAUUAGGAGGAACACCAGUGGCGAAGGCGGCUUACUGGACUGUAACUGACGUUGAGGCUCGAAAGCGUGGGGAGCAAACAGGAUUAGAUACCCCUGUAGUC
rnacentral:rRNA from 1 species